CCCCCGCGUCAUGGCAUAGGGCCGGCCGCUCCCGUCGCCGCUCCAAGGACUUUUCCUUUGUUUUUUAUGUGAGGAGCCACCUUCCUAAGGUUGACUUCUCAGUCAACUUCAGAUGGAACAUUCUAGAAAAGAAGGAGGUUUCAUUUGGAUUUUAUAUUUUUUGCGGCUCUCUCAGCAUCCUGGGUCCCUUCCGUGGUAUGAGCCCAUCUCCUGGCAGGAUUUUUUUUCCUGACUGAAAUGUGGCAGAUUUCCCCUCCUCUCUGGGGUCAGCUCUUUACCCCUCAGCUGCCCUGGUGCCUCCAAGACUUUCCUGGAUGGACAUGGAGGGUACCAAGUAGAGCUGAGAGAUGUCCACGGGCCAGUGGGCAAGUCCUGGGAAGAAGGAUGGCCCUGGUCUAGCAGGGUAAUUCAGACCCUUCUGCACAUGGAGACGUCGAAGACUUCGCCCAGCACGUGCACGCGCAGAAAGGCUCGGAGGGAGGUGACUUCACUGCUGUGGGGCGGACCUCCCGCCACCCCCAACAAUUCCUUCAGGCUUUGGGAAACUCACGCCUGCACAAAGGUCUGUUGCAAACAGGUUUUCUGGAGAAAGUGAGGAAAGGGGCUGGGUUCUGGGUUUGGGUUGAUCUGGAGUGGAGAUAAAGGAAGAGCCGUGAACCCAGCACUGCCCAGGAAAAACAGUAUGUUCGCCACAGAUGUAAUUUUACAUUUCAGCCAUAUUAAGGGAAUAAAAAGAAACAAGCGAAGUUAAUUUUAAUAACAUGUUUUAUUUAACCCAGUAUACCCCAAAAUAUCAUUUCACUGGCCAGCUGACCGACACCA